rnacentral:rRNA from 1 species
UACGUAGGGUGCAAGCGUUAAUCGGAAUUACUGGGCGUAAAGCGUGCGCAGGCGGUUAUGUAAGACAGGUGUGAAAUCCCCGGGCUUAACCUUGGAACUGCAUUUGUGACUGCAUAGCUAGAGUACGGUAGAGGGGGAUGGAAUUCCGCGUGUAGCAGUGAAAUGCGUAGAUAUGCGGAGGAACACCGAUGGCGAAGGCAAUCCCCCGGACCUGUACUGACGCUCAUGCACGAAAGCGUGGGGAGCAAACAGG